GCCCAAAAGCUCAAGAAAAUUACUGCAUAUAAACACAUUCUUCAUCAAAAUAAAUAAAUAACAGUUCCACAAAGAUAUUACUACUUCCUACUCAAGAAACAAAGAUAACAUCAAUAAAGCAUUAUUCUUGAAGGAAGGGAGAAAGAGGGAAAGAAAAUAGCAAGAAAAUCAUUAUCAAUAAUUCCAAACAAUCUACUACCAUGGACUAUGGCAAAAUGGUCAGUUUCAGAGUUUCUAUUUUAGUGCUUCUAUGAAGUAUAAUACAAAAUGAGCCAUGGAAGUGACAACUUCUACUUUAAUGCUUUCUAUAAAGCAGCACUAAGAAAACAAUUGAUAUGGCAGGUUAUUCACAAAUUAAGAAGGUUCUGCCAAUCAGGGGUCAGGAACAUAUUAUUAUUAUCAUCUCACCAGAAUUCGUAAGAAUAAGCUUAUCUGACAUUUAUUACCAUUACAUGUAACAUACACUUGAAAUGAUAUCAGAAAAAGCAACAAGUUGUAAGCAAGUAAAAAAGAAAAAUUUUAUAUUUUCCUGAACAAAAACAAAUAGAACUAGCAAACAGAUCUGCAGGAAAAUGUCACUGUAGCUUCAGCUGCACAAGAGGGAAAAAAAUUACCUCCUUUUGACUUCUGGUUGAUAG
rnacentral:misc_RNA from 1 species